GAUGAACGCUGGCGGCGUGCCUAAUACAUGCAAGUCGAGCGAACAGACGAGGAGCUUGCUCCUCUGACGUUAGCGGCGGACGGGUGAGUAACACGUGGAUAACCUACCUAUAAGACUGGGAUAACUUCGGGAAACCGGAGCUAAUACCGGAUAAUAUAUUGAACCGCAUGGUUCAAUAGUGAAAGACGGUUUUGCUGUCACUUAUAGAUGGAUCCGCGCCGCAUUAGCUAGUUGGUAAGGUAACGGCUUACCAAGGCGACGAUGCGUAGCCGACCUGAGAGGGUGAUCGGCCACACUGGAACUGAGACACGGUCCAGACUCCUACGGGAGGCAGCAGUAGGGAAUCUUCCGCAAUGGGCGAAAGCCUGACGGAGCAACGCCGCGUGAGUGAUGAAGGUCUUCGGAUCGUAAAACGCUGUUAUUAGGGAAGAACAAAUGUGUAAGUAACUAUGCACGUCUUGACGGGACCUAAUCAGAAAGCCACGGCUAACUACGG
rnacentral:rRNA from 1 species